AUUUUAUUUUAUUUAAAUUACAAUAUUUGGAAUCAAGCCGAAAUUCAUUGGCUUAUUGACAGAAUAUUUGACUGUUCGGAAAUUAAUAGACGAAACCUCACUGUUAAUGUUUCUCUCUAUAAAUUUUACAAUAAUACCUCCAACUUAAAUUCCAUGUUAUAAACUGCAAACAAGAAGCAUAAAACGCUUCAAUCCUUAUGGGGCUUCCAAUUCUUGGGCUGAGGAGGAAGAGAGUGCAUUCUUCAGAAUGUUACCAGAAAGCCAAAUGUGUGUCUCUCCCCGUAUUAAGAGUUGGACACCAUAUCACUCAAAGCCACUUUAUAUGUGAAAUUUCAACUCUGUCGUCCAAACACAGUGGCGCUGAGAAUCAAUUAGGUGGGAAUAACACUAGAACAAUUAAAUGAAGUGGUCUCAACAUUUUGAAUCCUAAUGAUAUUUGAAAAGUUAGCAGGUUUCAUUUACUUUU